GCCUCGGUGGUGAAACUGGUAGACGCGCCAGACUCAAAAUCUGGUAUGGGCGACCAUGUGUCGGUUCGAGUCCGACCCGAGGCACCA
rnacentral:tRNA from 1 species